CAGGAAUUACAAGGAAAUGCCGGGAGCCAGGUGUUGUUCAGGUAUUGGUGCUAUACCACCCAACUCUCAAGACUUGCAUUCUUCUGUUUGGAAGAGCACAGCAGAGCCAUCACAUGAACACAACAGUGACUGGAUAUGUCCCAGCCAGGGAUCUAGCCAGGCAUUAAGCCAUACACCCCAGACUUCCUGGGUAUUCAUUUUGGGCCAAGGCAGGUUAAGUUGGGAUCCUGGAGUAAUAGAGUCACUCAACCUCUAAGCUCUGCCUGAGUCAUAAGAAAGCCCUCUUGAGGCCAGAUGGAAUAACGUGUCCAUUUAGAAGCUCCUCAUUGAAAAAUGAGUUUGAAUUCUCUGAUUAAUGCUCUUCCAGGACUAAAAAGAGGCCCUCGGGAAAAGAGUCUUGGACCAAAACCUCCUCCUACAGGAAAACCAAAUGAUUCUGGCUGCAGAGGAAAAGUAAGAAUACCUAGGCACAUAAUCCAGCAAGUGUCCACUCUGAGGUUCACAGCUGAAUUUACUUCAAAUAGAGGGAAUUUUUCUGUCACCACAUGAGGAAGCCUGGCUAGCCUACUGGAAGAUGAGACUACACGGAGCAGACACCAGCUGUCCCAGCCAAGGCCCCGAACAACCAGGUCCCAGGUAAUGCAUCAAGAGACUGCAGCUGCAUGAAUGACUCCAGCUGAGACCAGCAGAAGAAAUGGUCAGCUAAGCCCAGCCCAAACUGGCAACCUGUGGAAUUGAGAGCAGAUAAUAGUUGCUUUAAGCUGUUACAUAUGGGGUGAUCUGUUACGCAGCUUCCAAAGUAAGAUGAGAGAAUCUCAGCUUCAAAUGGAACUGUACAGGUUUAUCUCGUUCAGCCUCCUAUUAAUACCUAAACUCUUUCUGUAUUCCAUUUACCGAGCAUCUACUGUAUACUAGAUAAUCUAUAGAUGCAACAAUAAUAACAACCAUAGUUAGUAUUUAUCGAACAUUUCAUGUGUCCCUGGCACUAUUCUAAGCUUAUUAGAUGGAUCAGUGGUCUUCAGUCUAGGGUCUGGAUACCCCUGGGUACUCUUUGGCAAAACAGUUUUAAGGAAUCACCUUAACAUCCUCACCUCCCAUGGUAUUCUUUCCUAAGAAUGCAUUCUCUUAGAACAUGCCUGAGGUCUGGCCGUAUUCAUUUCCCUUCCCCACUUUUAACAUCACCCUUUUCUAUUCAUAAAAUCAAAGCACACCAUCCUGGAGACCUGUCCCAGAUUGAAACGUAAAUGAGACAUCAAACAAGAAUUAAUGUAAAAUACUAAUAUCUGUGUCAAUAAAGCAAAUUAUUAACUAGGCAACUAAAUCUUUCACAAGGGGGGGAUGUUUCUAAUACUUUGCUUUCAACAAGGAUUGAAUAAUGACCUAAUCCAAUUGUCAUCUGGUAGAGUAUUAAAAAUCAUUUUGGAUGAUAAAUCAUGAUGUGACUUUUGACAUAUACCUUGGAAGUAGUUCUAAAAAUUGAGGAGUAUAAGAAAAUUUCAUUCAUUCAUUCAUACUCUGUUUAUAUUGAAGUAUUUCAGAGCUAAUAUCUAUUAACAAAAUUGAUGAUAAAUUUUAUCCCUAAAAAAUUCAUACCAGGGUAUAUGAAGUAAAAAUAAAAAUCAAUUUCAAUAAAAAUGCAUUCCCAAUAAAUUUUGCUUUUUAUGGCUAUUAUGUAUCUAAAUUUAUGAUAUGUUUAUGUCAUCUUGAUUAAUCUUAUGCUAAUUUUCCAAAGUUUACUAAUUGUGCAAUACUAAUAAGUCAAUCUAAAAAAUAUUUUAACAGACACUUAUGAAAUGAGGAAAUUAAAAAAUUAUUAAUUUAAAUUUGUACACACAUAUUAUCUUACAGAUAAGUAAAAUAGGGUAAUCAAUAAAGAACCUUCAAAACAAAAGAUGUAUUACAGUAGGAUGAAAUUUUGUGGGGAAGUGUACUGAAGAUAAAAAUUCAAGGAGAAGAAGGAACAAUACAAAAUUUCUAACAGUUAAAACUUGUUUGGGUAGGUACUUUUUUUCUCAUGAUGGCUUUAAAUAAAUGAAGACAGUCAUUAAAUUCAAGACAUUUAGAUGUGAAAGAAAGAUGGAUCUAAUCAUUUCAUUUUUAAGAUGUCAAAGAUGGAAAUUACAUCUUUCGCAACAAUUUACAUUUAUGAUGAAAAAGUUUAGAUGUCAACAAAAAAAUGAUUGAGUGCAUAGUUUUUGAAAUUAUUUUAGGAACUAUGCAAGCAAAAAAGUUUGAAGACCACAACUUUGCAUUCUAACUUAAUCUUCACAGUAGCCUUGUCAUUACUUUUAUCUUACAGCGGAGGACACUGAAGCACAGAGAGGUUAAUAAACUUGCCCAAAGUCACUCAGGUGAUGUUACGGGCUGAAUUAUGUCUCCUCCACUGAGCCUAACUGAAGCCUAAUCCUCAGUACUUCAGAAUGUGACUGUAUUUGGAGAUAGGGUCUUUAAAGAGGUAAUUAAGUUAAAAUGAGGCCAUUAGGCUGGGCCCUUAUCUAAUCUGACUAGUGUCCUUAAAAGUGAAGGAGAUUGCAACAAAGACAGGCACAGAGGGAAGACCAUGUGAAGACACAGGGAGAGCAGCGGUCUCUAAAGCCCAGGAGAGAGGCUUCAGGGGAAAUGAAUCCCGCUGACACCUUGAUCUCAAGACUUCUGGCCUUUAAAAGUGUGAGAUAAUAAAUUUCUGUUGUUAAAGCCAUGCAGUAUGUGGUACUUUGCUGUGGCGGCCUCCGCAACCUAAUACACCUGGGAAGUGCCAAAGUUGGGCAGCUUGGCUCCAGAGCCCUCUUGUAACUAUAGUCAUCCCUCAUAUCUUUGGGGCAUUGAUUCCAGAACCUCCCAAGGAUACCGAAAUC
rnacentral:lncRNA from 10 species